AUAUGAAGUAGGAUCUGCCCACUGAUUUAUUUAAAGGGCCGCGGUAAUUUGACCGUGCAAAGGUAGCAUAAUCAUUAGUUUUUUAAUUGAGGACUGGAAUGAAUGAUUGGACGAGGGGUAAUCUGUACCUUUAAUAUGUAUUGAACUUAAAUUUCGAGGUAAAGUGCUUGAAUUUUUUAAUGGGACGAGAAGACCCUAUAGAAUUUUAUUGUUAAUAAAUUAUUUGGUUGGUUUUUGUAAUAAUUUAUUAAUAAUUUGGUUGGGGUGAUUAGAAGAUAUAAAAAACUCUUUUAUUUUGAUUUUUAUUUAUUUAUUAAUUUUGAUCCAUUUUUAGUGAUUAUUAGAAUAAAUUACCUUAGGGAUAACAGCGUAAUCUUUUUUGAGAGUUCUUAUUGAUAGGGGGGGUUGCRA
rnacentral:rRNA from 1 species